CUCUAGUCUGGCACUGUGAAGAGACAUGAGAGGUGUAGAAUAAGUGGGAGGCCUCCGGGCCGCUGGUGAAAUACCAGUACUCUUAUCGUUUUUUCACUUACCCGUUAUUAGAAACACUCCUACUCCACCUGAUAUCAACAAUGAUCCUCUAUUACCCCAUUUAACUUUUCUGUAUCUGUUGUAGGUGGUUGAAGUAAGUUUUUCUAUGUAGUAUAUGUAGUUUUUACAUGACUCAUGUUCCCGAACUCCCUCUUUGUUCCCUGUAGAUUUGAAUGAAUCUCUGUUGAAAUAAUGUUUCAGUUUGAGGG
rnacentral:ncRNA from 1 species